rnacentral:rRNA from 1 species
GUGCAGGCGGCUGCUAUACAUGCAGUCGAGCGGACCGACGGGAGCUUGCUCCCUUAGGUCAGCGGCGGACGGGUGAGUAACACGUGGGUAACCUGCCUGUAAGACUGGGAUAACUCCGGGAAACCGGGGCUAAUACCGGAUGCUUGAUUGAACCGCAUGGUUCAAUCAUAAAAGGUGGCUUUUAGCUACCACUUACAGAUGGACCCGCGGCGCAUUAGCUAGUUGGUGAGGUAACGGCUCACCAAGGCGACGAUGCGUAGCCGACCUGAGAGGGUGAUCGGCCACACUGGGACUGAAACACGGCCCAGACUCCUACGGGAGGCAGCAGUAGGGAAUCUUCCGCAAUGGACGAAAGUCUGACGGAACAACGCCGCGUGAGUGAUGAAGGUUUUCGGAUCGUAAAACUCUGUUGUUAGGGAAGAACAAGUACCGUUCGAAUAGGGCGGUACCUUGACGGUACCUAACCAGAAAGCCACGGCUAACUACGUGCCAGCAGCCGCGGUAAUACGUAGGUGGCAAGCGUUGUCCGGAAUUAUUGGGCGUAAAGCGCGCGCAGGCGGUUUCUUAAGUCUGAUGUGAAAGCCCCCGGCUCAACCGGGGAGGGUCAUUGGAAACUGGGGAACUUGAGUGCAGAAGAAGAGAGUGGAAUUCCACGUGUAGCGGUGAAAUGCGUAGAGAUGUGGAGGAACACCAGUGGCGAAAGCGACUCUCUGGUCUGUA